CAUCAAAUUGCAGAAAGUAGACAAAGGAAAAUGUGUCAAAGCGGCGCCGUUUUAUGAACAGCAGCAGGAAUUCCGAAUCCCUGGUAUUGACUUUCGUUCAACUCCAAUCGUCCAACUCCCGACGCUCCUUCCUCCCUCUCUCCUCACCGAAGUUCGUGAUAAUUUGGAUGUUUGAAUGGCGGAGAAGCGUCUUCUUCAUGGUUUGAGGGCGCCGUGGUCGAUCUAGUGGCGGCUGCUGGUUGUGGAAAUCACGUGUUUUUGGUGAACAAAUUAGUUUGACUGUUGCAAUUGGUUCGUUCCAACUCUGAUGGUCAGACUUUCUCCAUAUGCUCUGAUGGCUUUGUUUCUCUGAAUCAAAACCCAAGACCAAGUCCAAGGCAUUUGCAACUCUUUUCAUUGUACUUUUGGCUGUGAAUUUGUUGCUAAGCAUUGAUCAAGUUGGGAAAAAUGAGCACAAAGUUCGAAAAGGUAUUGGAUAGUGGCAGAAGUGUUGUUGUUGAUCUGAAGAGAAAGAGGUCAGAACAAUGCACCAUCCCUUCAAAGGGAGCUACUCAUGUGCCGUUCACUCUGCAAUACCCACCACCUAUAUCAUCAAUCAAGAAGAUCAACAAGCGGAGGAAACUAAAUGGAUCCAUAAACAAGUAUAGCAGUUUUACCUUUCCAUCUGGGAAGCGCCUGCUUAAAUGUUAUUCCAACUUUAAGAAGAGUGGGAGUUUGCAACGCUUGAUGUAUCAUGACAACGAUGAGUGGAAUGAUUUUUCCAUGGACAUCAUUGCACAUGUCAACAAGGAUCUUCUUGCCGACAAGCCUGCAAUUGAAGUGGUGUUUAAUGGAACCAAGAUUCUGCUAGAUUUCUUGCAUAUGAUGCAGUUGGACCUGACUACUGGCGUGCACCAGCCUAUUGCUUGGAUUGAUGUCUCUGGGAACUGUUUUUUCCCUGAAAUAUUUAGUGGUUAUGAGGAAACAAAUGGUUAUGACAAUGAAUUUGCUGAAGGUGAAGGAGAUAGAGAUAUGGGAAAUGAGCCUUUUGGUUCCACUGAUAUAAACUUGCAUUUGGAGAUUGCUAUACAUGGAUUAAAUAAUGAGUCCAGUGGUGAAUCCAAUGUGAUUGUCGAGAAGAUACAUGCUCAUGAGAGUGCUGCUCCUAGAAUUUGUGAUGAUGAAAGUAAUGAUAAUUGCUCCAAGGCAUCAUAUGGGGAUGUCGAUGUGAAAUGUGAGGAUAGUCAGCAAAUUGAUGGAAACAUGAUUCAAGUGGUUGGUCCUGUACCUAGGUCCUUGGGAAGCGACACUGUCAAGGAGCUGUUCGUAAAAAGUAUUAGCUCGGCUGCUGCAGAGGUUGUUGAGAUACACCAUUGUACGAGCAUUUUGAUGAAAAGUCGGUUGGAACUAUUUGAGAAACAGGUAGAAAUAACAAAAAAGUACCGCGGCGAUGCAAAUGUCCUGUAUGCAUUGCUUCCUUGUUCGAAAGAAUCUGUUUCAACUAUACUAAAGUAUGGGAUAGGGCAUUACACGCCCUUGAAAUUGAAGCCCUUCAAUAGUACGGGGAUACAUCUGAUCCCUGCAAAUGGUACUCAAAUCAGUAUCGAUUGUUUAGAUGUUGACGAAAAUGAUGUACGGCAUAUGGUAUUCUGCCGUGUUAUAAUGGGGAAUAUGGAGCUUGUUAGCUGUGGAUCAAGUCAGUUCCAUCCCAGUAGUGAGGAAUUUGAUAGCGGUGUUGACACACUUCCCAAUCCAAGUCGUUAUGUUGUAUGGAACAUGAAUAUGACUUCUCACAUCUACCCAGAAUGUGCAAUUAGUUUCAAGAUGACUUCUGAUGUUGAAGAACCUAUUUUUGGGAAAGAGAGCAUGGUUGAUCAUCCUGUCCUCAAUACUUGUUAUAAAGGACCUCACGACCAGCAUUCCGCCAGUCCGACGUAGUUCUGACCAGCUGCUGAUCAUGCCGUCGUCCAUCACAUUCAUCCAACUACCUUGAAUGUUCAUCCGAAUCAAAACUAAGGGAUUCAGGCCGUCUACAAUUCGGACACCAGCAGGCUUAACUCUUGAUAGUUCAUUUGGUUGUGGAAAUCCAGAGAUUUUGUUCGACCCUUCCUUCCGGUCCACAUGUACUUGUUAAGUUGACUUUCCACAUCAAAUUCUGCAUGUCUAUCCACCACCGUGCGAAUUUGUUGCUGUGAGGAGUGAAACGGCUGAGGCAUCAAGACCAAACAGAGUUCGACCAAGUGCCGCACUCCAACUGUUUGUUGAUUUUCCGGAUUGCAGGAAAACCAUUUCAAGUUAGGACCCCUAAGAGCCCUUGGAUGCCAUUUCCCAUGCUGCUUGCUGCCAUUUCAAGCAAAGUCCCUUCUCAGCACAUGGACCUUGUGAAGAACAACUAUGCGCUGUUCA